AUGGCCCCUGCCGUACUCAUUUCCGCGGCGGCGACAGCUGCGAUGAUAUCGGCCUAUGCCAACAAGAUCACCGUGGUCGCAGGCGCUGCAACCAGCGCCGGCACGAUUGGAUGGAUGGCCGCCGACUAUUUCAGGAAGGUGCCCUGCCCUUCAUGCACCAAGAUGGUCAGGGUGCGGGACUUCAUGGAUCACGCGAGGAGCCACACCUUCCAGUGCCCCUCGUGCCAAGAGCAUGUCAAGUUCUCUGAUCUGGAGAAGCAUGCGCAACACCAUGGUUUCCGCUGCACAGCCUGCUACGACGUUGUCCCGCUCGCCGACUUCGGCCCUCACCUGGAUCGUCACAGAUACUCUUGCGCGAGGAUGACGAUGAGAGAGCGAGGCAAGGCGAUGACUACGUUGCGAGGGUGCGUGAGCUGA
rnacentral:rRNA from 1 species